GUUGGCCUAGUGGUUGCAGCGUCCGCCUCGGAUGCGGGAGGUCGCAAGUUUGAACCCUGGCCGAGAAAUG